rnacentral:lncRNA from 1 species
CAAUUGUUCUCUGAACAAUUGGUUUUUAAUUAUUAUUAUUUUUUUUUUUUUUCUUCCGCCUAAUUUUUUUCUUGCGUAAUAUUGAUGUUUCAAAAUAUGUCGCUUAGAUAUUUGGAAUAUGAUAUCAUAUAGCUUAUACGCUUUUAAUACUGACAACGGGGUAACCAAAUACUUUACGUUGUAAGAGUUAUCUCCCCAAAAACUGUUUUUCUUGUGGCCACUACUCCUUUGCAACCGUAAAAGAUUACGACAAAAUUAUUUUACCAAAUUGCUCGUUACAUCUUCAGGAUUAGGAUUUUAAUUUUGACCGAAGCUAUCCAGAGACUCCAUAUGAGAGUUAUUUCCCC